CACCAGAUGACUGAAAAUAAGUAUUGGUCUCUUAAACCAAAAAUAGUAAGUAAUAUCUACUUCCGGUGA
rnacentral:tRNA from 1 species